UUCAAGCUUCCUCAUAUUUCCUUCCAAGAAAGAAAACCUUCAAUGAAGCAUUACUAUAAGAAUGAUUUACAAAAUGUUCUCAAGGAAAGCCCUGAAAGUACAUAACAGCUAGAUAAUUAAAGCAUCUUAUUUGAAAUCUUAUAAACUAAAAUCCCCAACUAAUCAUCAGCACCCUAAAUCAUUAUUGGUGGUAGCUGUCCACGCCAAAGAGACACAGAACAUGCAUUGCAAAACUGGAGAUUGUAGCCAAAAAAAAAAAAAAAAGACAGAGAAGAAGCCAAACAUUGAUUACCCAGUUGUAUGGACCCAAAUAAUAAAUAAUCCAGAUAUCAGAAAUAUUUAAAUCUAUUCACGCCAAGAUUUGUGACCUUAUUGUAGCCAAAUCUCUCAGCACUCACUCAAUCGGACUAACACAACAAAAAGUCCCUACUUCAACUAUCACAGUAAGAAAUUCAACUACAGUACAGUUGACAGCAGCAUUUCUCUUAAGUAAUUAUCAAGUCAAAAUUCUGUGGUAUAAAGCCCCCAAAUAUAAAUGUUACAUAGCUCGGUAGAGCCGUGGGGCAUCUCCCUAAAAUUGUAAACUCAAUAGCAUGUAGGAGUGAUCGCAAUCAUCUUGUUUUCUAAGGAAGCAUCUAAAAUAAGAGUGCUAAGACCUUGUAAGACUAGAGAAGAUGACGAUGCACACUUUCAUGAACAAGUCAGGGCAAAGAAAAUGUUGAAAGUUAGUUGCAAUUAGUCCUGUGCAAAUGUGGACGGAAGUUGAUAGGUGUUAUUUUACAUUUUGUAUCUUUGGUCUGAUUGUCUUGUUCUUUUUGCUCUUAGAUACUUCUCUUGUGUACAUCUGUGUACUUCGCCUUAUGCUUUUAAUGAUUCAGUUACUUAUCAAAAAUACAGAUAUUAGCAAGUAAGAGAGCAGCAGCUUCCCUAAAUUUUCUUAAAUUUAAGAACCAAACUACUAACUAAAAGUAAUUUUAUAAAGCGUAAAGCACCCCUAAGUACACAGGAAAUAUAAAAAGGAACCCCUAACAGGCAAAAUCAUAUCCUCAAAGUUUCUGUCAUUCCUUACACCAAAAGAGGCACGUAGGAACCAUUUUCCACACAGCAGCGCUCCUAGGCCUAGUACGCAAUAUUUUAAGAAGAGGGCCUUGAAGGGCCAAGACGAAGGUAAACAGGAUGUAGAUUGCAGAAGCAGCAACAAGAAUUUGCCAUUCACUUCAAUCACAAAGUAACAUCUGCUAAUCAUGUAUUUGGUAUACAAAAUCACAGUCCAACAAUGCUAAUCAGAUUGAAAGAGAAGCAUAACACUUGAUUAUCAAAAGAGGUAGACUCCCCUGGAUAUGCAAAUUGGUUGGGCGCGUAGAAAUAGAUGCUCAGAAACUCGGCAUAAUCUAUGGUGUGGAAAUAUGGCAAGCCUUUCCAGUUUCAUUUGAUAUUGCUUGCCAAAGGAAAUUUUGUGGCGCUUAAUUCGGGAGAUGAAAUAUGUAUAAAAUGAAUGGGGAGUCUAUGGACCUUUUUCUUCUUUUUGAGGCCGUUUGUGCCAUUUGCAAUGUUUUCUCCAAUUUAGGUCGUAAAUUAAGUCUUUAUCUUUGCCUGUUCUUCAAGGUGUUGUAUUUAGUGAAAG
rnacentral:lncRNA from 1 species